rnacentral:lncRNA from 1 species
UGUCACUAUGGUCAGUGCAUUACAACAGGAGUAGUACAGAUAAAUAAUUCAAUUCAUAAUGGGAACCUGAAUAGUAUUUAGUUACUUGAAUACAUAGCAAAAAGAAAGAAUGAGACUACACCAAAUUGUGCAUGACUUGGGUGGUGUGACUUAAAAUUGUGAAUGAAACUCAACUCUCAUAAUCCAGGAGAUCUGGAUAUACUGAAAUUGGCUUCUGUGACUUAAAAUUAUCAAUCACAGAUUUGAAGUCAUUAUGAAGCGAGAUGACGGAUCUUUGUCGACAUGCAAAAGCAACACUAAACUGUUUAAUCUCGUCUUCGAGGUUUUUCCUCCUCUUUACUUCAGCAUUCAAAUCCUCCCAUACCUUUUCCUUUUGGUUAGUAACCAGUUCGAGCUUCUCACCUAUGAAGCGAGAUGAUGGAUCUUUGUCGACAUGCAAAAGCAACACUGAACUGUUUAAUCUCGUCUUCGAGGUUUUUCCUCCUCUUUACUUCAGCAUUCAAAUCCUCCCAUACCUUUCCCUUUUGGUUAGUAACCAGUUCGAGCUUCUCACUUGAAGUGGAAACUUUUUGCAUCAACGUAUCCCUUUCUUCUUUCAAGAGAUGAAACUCCCUUUCUAAGCUAUUAUAUCUAUCCCUGGAAGCGAUAAGAAGCUGAUUAUUGAGGUCCAACUCCUUUUCCAAGUUCUGGUACUUUGCCUGGAUUGUUUUGAUAUCUUCAUCCAGCUUCCUCUUCCAAGAAGCAAUUUCUCCACCCAGAGUGCAGUCCUUGAUCAUAUUAAAAAUGCAUACUUAAAGAAAGGAGGAAAAGCAUCUAUAACUAUCAAGAUGGUUAAGCUAAAAACAUGACUCCCCUUGUGGAUUAACUACUGAAGAUCAUGGACCUCGGAACUUAAAUUAUCAUGAGCCUAGAACUUAGC